UACGAACUGUGCAAACGUUAUUCGGAUUCACUGGGCUUAAAGGGUGCGUAGGCGGCCAUGUAAGUAGGGUGUGAAAUCCCCCCGGCUUAACCGGGGAACUGCGCCCUAAACUGUAUGGCUGGAGUGAGAUAGGGGUGUGUGGAACUUCCGGUGGAGCGGUGAAAUGUGUUGAUAUCGGAAGGAACGCCGGUGGCGAAAGCGACACACUGGGUCUCAACUGACGCUGAGGCACGAAAGCCAGGGGAGCGAACGGGG
rnacentral:rRNA from 1 species